rnacentral:rRNA from 1 species
UACGGAGGAUCCAAGCGUUAUCCGGAAUCAUUGGGUUUAAAGGGUCCGUAGGCGGCCUUAUAAGUCAGUGGUGAAAUCUCCUAGCUCAACUAGGAAAUGGCCAUUGAUACUGUAGGGCUUGAAUUAUUGUGAAGUAACUAGAAUAUGUAGUGUAGCGGUGAAAUGCUUAGAUAUUACAUGGAAUACCAAUUGCGAAGGCAGGUUACUAUCAAUAUAUUGACGCUGAUGGACGAAAGCGUGGGGAGCGAACAGG